rnacentral:rRNA from 1 species
GACAGAGGUGCCGAGCGUUAAUCGGAAUUACUGGGCGUAAAGCGUGCGCAGGCGGUUCGUUGUGUCGGCGGUGAAAGCCCCGGGCUUAACCUGGGAAUGGCCGUUGAAACUGGCGAACUGGAGUGUGGCAGAGGGGGGUGGAAUUCCGCGUGUAGCAGUGAAAUGCGUAGAGAUGCGGAGGAACACCGAUGGCGAAGGCAGCCCCCUGGGCUAACACUGACGCUCAGGCACGAAAGCGUGGGGAGCAAACAGG